AUCUAUAGCUCAGGGGAUAGAGUAGCACACUCCGAAUGUGAAGGUCGUGGGUUCAAAUCCCACUAGAUGC
rnacentral:tRNA from 1 species